CCUCAGCUGACCUACCGCAUCAUCCCCUCCAGUUCCAUCCAUGUCGAUGCAAAUGGUGGGUGUUCAUCCUUUCUGAUGCCAGCCAUUCUUUUGGACAUGAGUACUGCAAGCCUCGGUCUGCUUCAAGAUCUUCAGAGGAUAGCUGUUCCCUGGAAGGCUCUCCCACAGGCUCGUGUCAUGAUCACACAUGCAGUUCAAUGACUCAGCCAGCAGGGAGAGGCCACCGGCUCCCGUAGGCAUCCUCCAGUUCUUUCUCCAGUUUUCCUGCUUGCUCAGUGUCCUCUAGCGGUAACUUGCCUCCUGAGUGAGCACCUCCGGCCUCGCAGAUGCACCGUGAGAUCCACAGAGAUCAGGCCACUUUGUUGGUGUUUUCUAAUGAACGCGAUAUUUGCAGGCCUACUAAGUGCCAGGUAGUAUGUCGUCCCCUGCCCCACCCCGCCCCGGGCUCUCAGGAACCCUCUGAGAAAGAGGCCCAUCACACCCUGCGUAGAUAAGCAAACUGACCUUUCAGGAGCCUAACUGCUGUGUGGUAAGAGUCAGAGGCAGGAUUUGAAACUCGAAUUCCUGAGCACUCAACCUGAUGUGUUUUGUCUUGUUUGUUGUUGUUGUUGUUUUAAACAGUGCUCUACCAUUUCACAAUUCCAAGCAGAUAAACAUUUUCUGGCUCCGAAUGAGUCCUAGAGGCAAUCGAUGAAGGAGACUUCAGAAGCCUGGGUCCGUCCUGCUUCACGGAAUUGCCUCUGACCUUCCUGACCAAAUGCCUCCUGAGAGGCCAUAGGGCAGAGUGAAAAAAGAAAGAACCAGCUUUUAACCCAGAAUCACAUGGCUUUCAACCCUCACUCCACCACUGCACAAUAAAUACUUUAUGUUCUGCUAUGCUCGAGGCCCUAGAAUUACAGUUUUGUACACGAGAGAGAAAAUAUUUGUGGUCAGAUUUUUUUAUUCUAGCUGCUCCUUGGUGUGUCAUCUCUGAAAUAGGGGUGGGUGUACCCCUAACCAUUUGUGGAAGGCCAGUGUUUAAAGUUCUUCAACAUAUUAGGGAAAUAAGGGUGUGUUGUAAUUGAGGGCACAUGAUGACAACAAUGACCCAGUGUAAAGCACGUUUUGCAAGUGAGGAUAAUCUGACUGGUCUAAUGUUUUGAGAACCCUCUUUUGGGCUGGCUGGCUGCAGAUAGGAUGUUUUACAUUAUCCCGUAUUUCAAGUAAACAAGUCCUGAAUUCUUUCUGUGACAUUAAAGGAAUGAGCUGCCUCUUGCCCUAUUUUGUCGAGACUGAAUGCUGUGUCCCCUCAAAAUUGGUAUGUUAAAAUCCCUCCCCCUUCCCCCGUGUUGUGGCAUUAGGAGGUGGGGUCUCGGGAGGUGAAUAGGUCAUGAAAGCAGAACCCUCAUGAAUGGGGUUAAAGCCCUUAUAAGAGAGGCCCUGGAGAGCUUCCUCACCCUCUCUGUCAUAUGAGUUACAGCAGAAAUAUGUCAUCUCUGAACUGGGAGGGGGACGUCACUGGACACAGAAUCUGCUGGUGCGUUGAUCUCAGAAUUCCCAGCUUCCAGAACUCUGAGAAGUAAAUUUCUGUUGUUUAGAAACCACCCAGUCUAUGCUAGGAACUUUCUCUUUCCUUUUCUUAAUAUAAUGAUUGAGAACAUUGGCUUAGGAAACUGAGAAUCAUAGAAUGUUAUAGCGUGAGAAGAAGUAAAAGAUUUUCUAAAAAAAUAUACAGAUUAGAACACAAGUGGGAUUAUGUGUCUUGUCCAAGGUCAUUCUUUAGUUCAUUCAUUCAGUGAAUAUUUAUUGUGUGUCCAUCAUGUGCUAGGUACUGUUCUACUUGUUGAGUUACAGCAGUGAGCAAAACAGAUGUGGUCAUUGCUUUCGUGGAUGUUUAUUCUAAUGGGAAGGGAACAUUUGGUAAAAAUUACACAAAUAUAUAGUAGGUCAGAUAAUGGUAAGUAUUCAGAAAACAUAAUUAAGCAAGGUAAGGAAUAAAGAAUAAUGAAGGAAAGUGCUCUUUUAGAUAGAAUGUUCAAUGGAGAUGACAUUCAAGCAGAGUCCUGAAUGAGGUGAGGGAAUGAACCAUAUGGAUACCAUAUGGAUACCUUCCAUAUGGAAGGAGAAUUGCAGACAGAUGGAAGCAAGUGCAAAGGCCCUGAGGUGAAUUCGCACUCAAAGGUCAAUGUAGCUGAAAUUGAUAGAGGGAGGGAAGAGUGACAGGGAAUGUGACCUGACAGUAGCAAGGGAAGAUUCACAUCACAUAGGGUCUGGUGGGCAUGGUAACAGUCUGGACGUUUAGGGUUUCAAGUAGAAGAGUGAUGUGAUUUAUUUAUGUUUCAAAAGGAGAUGACUCUCAAAUCAAGAUCAGCCAGAACCCAGGUCUCUUUAAGGUAGAUGCCACAGGCCCUCCCAUUAUACCAUGCAGCUCUGUAUAUUGCAGUUAACCUAGAAAUCUUAGGAAAGCUCUGUAUUUACACAUUGCAUUAUCAAGAUGGAUACUUUAACCAGAGUUCUGUAAACACAAAUAAUAAAAAUUAU